rnacentral:rRNA from 1 species
CCUGCACCUGCCGGCGACCGGCGCACGGGUGAGUAACACGUAUGGAACCUGCCCGCCACAGGGGGAUAACCCGGGGAAACCCGGCCUAAUACCCCAUGCCGCCCGGACCGGGCAUCCGGUCCGGGCGAAAGGAGGAAUCCGGUGGCGGCUGGGCAUGCGGCGCAUUAGCUUGACGGCGGGGUAACGGCCCACCGUGGCGACGAUGCGUAGGGGUUCUGAGAGGAAGGUCCCCCACACUGGUACUGAGACACGGACCAGACUCCUACGGAAGGCAGCAG